AGCGAACGCUGGCGGCAGUCUUAACACAUGCAAGUCGAGCGGGCACUUCGGUGUCAGCGGCAGACGGGUGAGUAACACGUGGGAACGUACCCUUCGGUUCGGAAUAACGCUGGGAAACUAGCGCUAAUACCGGAUACGCCCUUUUGGGGAAAGGUUUACUGCCGAAGGAUCGGCCCGCGUCUGAUUAGCUAGUUGGUGGGGUAAUGGCCUACCAAGGCGACGAUCAGUAGCUGGUCUGAGAGGAUGAUCAGCCACACUGGGACUGAGACACGGCCCAGACUCCUACGGGAGGCAGCAGUGGGGAAUAUUGGACAAUGGGCGCAAGCCUGAUCCAGCCAUGCCGCGUGAGUGAUGAAGGCCUUAGGGCUGUAAAGCUCUUUUGUCCGGGACGAUAAUGACGGUACCGGAAGAAUAAGCCCCGGCUAACUUCGUG
rnacentral:rRNA from 1 species